AGGUAGCAACUGAUCCUUUUACGAUGCUUGGAUCUCAGCCCAUAGUAUACUCAUCAUAGAGUAAAGCUGAGGAAUACAAGUAGAAAUAACCAUUUGGACUUAUGCGGUGUGACCAGCUGUUUCACAGCUCCUGCUGCCAUAGCUUCCCCACCACGAUAGACUGCACCUUCAAACAGUUCAAUAGCCAGUUUUCUAUCUUGCACUUUUCCUGUUGCUGAGAUACGAGAUGGACAUUCCUG